ensembl:miRNA
ACCUUCUUGAAAGAGGUUGGGGCAGGCAGUGACUGUUCAGACGUCCAGUCUCUUUGGGACACCUCUUCAGCGCUGUCUUCCCUGCCUCUGCCUUUAGGACGAGUCUCAAA